GGGAGUGCCUUCGGGAGCUCAGAGACAGGUGGUGCAUGGCUGUCGUCAGCUCGUGUCGUGAGAUGUUGGGUUAAGUCCCGCAACGAGCGCAACCCACGUCUUUAGUUGCCAGCAUUCAGUUGGGCACUCUAGAGAGACCGCCGGUGAUAAACCGGAGGAAGGUGUGGAUGACGUCAAGUCAUCAUGCCCCUUACAUCCUGGGCUACACACGUACUACAAUGCUACGGACAAAGGGCAGCAAACUCGCGAGAGCUAGCAAAUCCCAUAAACCGUGGCUCAGUUCAGAUCGUAGGCUGCAACUCGCCUACGUGAAGGAGGAAUCGCUAGUAAUCGCAGGUCAGCAUACUGCGGUGAAUACGUUCCCGGGUCUUGUACACACCGA
rnacentral:rRNA from 1 species